rnacentral:rRNA from 1 species
UAAGGAAUAUUGCUCAAUGGGAGAAAUCCUGAAGCAGCAACGCCGCGUGGAGGAUGAAGGGUUUUUAACUUGUAAACUCCUGUAAAGAAGGAAAAAAUUCCCAUUAGAUGGGAAAUGAUGGUACUUCUGGAGUAAGCCCCGGCUAACUACGUGCCAGCAGCCGCGGUAAUACGUAGGGGGCAAGCGUUGUCCGGAUUUACUGGGUGUAAAGGGUGCUCAGGCGGAUUUGUAAGUCAGAGGUGAAAUCUCACAGCUUAACUGUGAAACUGCCUUUGAUACUGCAAGCCUAGAGUAUGGAAGAGAGUGAUGGAAUAUCUGGUGUAGCAGUGAAAUGCGUAGAUAUCAGAUAGAACACCAAUGGCGAAGGCAGUCACUUGGUCCAUAACUGACGCUAAAGCACGAAAGCGUGGGUAGCAAACAGGAUUAGAUACCCUGGUAGUCCACGCCCUAAACGAUGAAUACUAGAUGUUGGCUUCGCAUGAAGUCAGUAUCUGAGCUAACGCAUUAAGUAUUCCACCUGGGAAGUACGAUCGCAAGGUUGAAACUUAAAUGAAUUGACGGGGUCAUAGC